UACAGAGGUGGCAAGCGUUGUUCGGAAUUACUGGGCAUAAAGGGCGCGUAGGCGGCCUACUAAGUCAGACGUGAAAUCCCCGGGCUCAACCCGGGAACUGCGUCUGAUACUGGAGGCUUGAAUCCGGGAGAGGGAUGUGGAAUUCCAGGUGUAGCGGUGAAAUGCGUAGAUAUCUGGAGGAACACCGGUGGCGAAGGCGGCAUCCUGGACCGGUAUUGACGCUGAGGCGCGAAAGCCAGGGGAGCAAACGGGG
rnacentral:rRNA from 1 species